rnacentral:lncRNA from 1 species
UUAUCCCAGAUCCACAUGUCUCUUAUUUUCUCCUGAUUUUUCUUCCUUGGUGGUGGCACAUGUGGCUGGAUGAGUGGGUGGAUCUCGGCGACCUCGCUGCUCAAAAUUGUCGUAGCCGGAGGCCCUGGAUGCUGGGGCUGCUUAGGCAUUGAGGGAGGUCACGGAGGAACAAAUUUCAGCAAGACGUGAGUAUUUCUGCGAGUGCCUGUUAGUUGGUGCCCUCCUGUUGUCUGUACUUGUACCAAAAUGUAAAUGUUAUUGGAACCAUAUAAGUUUUUUUGAAGUUGAAUGAUCUAGAAAUCAGAAUAAGAUUUUAUCUUUCCAUUGGUAAACAACUUUUGGUGUGAAAUUAGGAAUCAUACCACAACUUUCUGUCUAGAGAUAGGCACUUAUACUUGUUCUCCGAAUUCUGCAAUAUAGAAUAGAGUACAGUAAAGCACAAAUAUGGAUCUGCUUGAAUUUAGUCUAACUGAACCUAGCAAGGUGCCCUUGUAUCUAAUUAUUGAUUGAUAGUAAAAAGAGUAGUUUUAGAUGCACGUUUACUGAGGUAGGUAGCAAAAGAAUCAGCUUAAUGUGAGAAAUACAUGUGUCUAGCUGCAGUUUAAGUUUUCAAUUUCAGUGAUUUACGCGCGGCUAGUUUUCUUCUUCCAAUCUCUUCAUGUAUGUACGGACACACUUUGCCAGUGCGUGGACGCGUUUGUUGCAUUCUCAAGGAUGUGGAAUAUUAUUUCUUGUACUUUAUCCGUAGCAGUGUGGUACUCCAUACUAUUUUUAAUUUGCUUUUUAGCAAGAAAUACUUUUUUAUGGUGCCUUCUGUCUGAAAAAACACCUUAUGAACAGGAUUGGUUCAUAUGUAUCAAUCAGUUUUUUUAUUUUCUUAAAUUGCAAAGGCCUCACCUCUUGUCUGUUCACCCUGCUUAUUAAUUUUGGUAUAGGUUAGUUGAGCUGAAGCUGGCUUGUUGAAUUUUCUCAUGUAACUUUUGGUCACCACAUCAAGUAACCGCGAAACAUAUUUGAGUUGCCAGCAAAUUUUUAGUGACAUAAGCAAUUAAUGUGAUUAGAUAGUGUAUUUUCUUUGCGGCUAAUUCUAAAUGUGGGACCGUUUUUCUUUUGUGAGAAUAGCAGUGCCAGGCUAAACUAUCUGUAUGUACACAGUAGAGAGGUCGUUGAUAUGCUUACAUCCUCUUCUGCUAUUAAGUUGCAAAAGCAAGGUAUGUUACUAUCUAUUGCGAAUGGCCUCGUCUAGAUUUGGCAAAGUAUAGUAUUGUGAAAUGAAUCCUAAUGUGUGAAACUCUUGUCUUGUAUUAUGUUCCUGUCUAUUAACAGAUUUGGCUAAAUUAGCAUGUUUGUAAAGGAAACUACAUAAAGAAAGCUAUUAAUCUGUUUUAGAGUAAGAACAUUGCUAACAUUCGUACCCUUAAUCUAAUAAGUAUCCUUCUUAUCUAUGUCGAUGUCAAGUACUCUCACUUAUCGUUGUCGAUGCAAAUAGGCGGUCGUACUAUUUAUUUCAUAAGCUACUAAUCUACUAAUUAUCUAGAUAACAUCCUUGUUCUCCUGGGCUUUUGUUUACGUAAUUCAUCUUCAUGUUAAAGCAUUGUUUUUUUGGCUUUCAUUUAAAUCUAAAAGUGUCUAUAAGAUUCUUCCAAAUAGUAGCAUGGAUUGUUUCACCCUGUACAAUCAAAUAUGGUUAGUAACUGUUUCUUAAUCUGACUGAUAAAAUUCCAAUCAAAUAUGUUAGUAAACAGACCUGCUCAUUGAUCAGUAUCAUAUCUAGGAUAAAAAAGUUAGCUAGCCGUACACAUUUGUUAAUAUCUGUAUUCAUGAAAGUAGUGUAUGGUAACAAUAAUCUGCAUUGUCAUGUUCUUUUUUCCUGUUGAAAAAAUAAUUAGAAACCCAAUCUAUAAUAUCCUUUUGUAUACAGUAUUUCCGGCCAUAUCUAACACAUGAACAUCAUGCUUUUGAACCAUACAUUUUAUUGUUUAAUUGAAUGACAAAAAUUAGAAGAUCUCUUUGUAUACUAUAUUCUUUGCGCUAUCUUCGCUUGGGCACUCCGUGUCAUCAAUCAGCACCUUCAAUCCUUCUCUGUUUGUGACUCUUGAUAAUGCCACAUAUAGUUGGCCAUGACAGAAGACUUGCUUAGGCAAAUAUAGACCCACCUUGUCUAGGGAUUGACCUUGGCUUUUAUUUAUGGUCAUUGCAAAACAAACUGAUAGAGGACAUUGCCUUCUUUUCAGCACGAAGGGCCACUUCGAGUCGCUUGGUGACAUAAUGAUUUUAGGUAUGUAUACCUUGUCACCGACGUGUGUUCCUGUGAUUAUUUGUGCCUCAAUGUACCUGUUUCCCAGCUGUGUGAUAGUCAUUCUUGUACCAUUGCAUAAACCUGCCGCUUGAUUGAUGUUGCGUAGGAGCAUAACCGGCAAGCCUACCUUCAGUUUUAGCUCGUGGUUUGGAAUUCCUGGGAAGGUCAAUUUGUUAAGGAACUCUGUUGGACACAUAUUCUCCAUUGUGUUGUAAUUUGUUGUUGCCUUGCAUACAGUGUCCAAGCUUAGGUAUGUCACCUCUUCACCUUGUAUUUGGCUCAUUACGUAGUCAUUUAUCUUAUCAACUGUUUCAUUCCUUGGACAUAGUAUUGCUCUUUCUUCAAGAAAUUCACGGUCACGAUAGUUUUGGUGCAAGUUUGGGUACGUGCUUUUUACUAUCGCUUCUUUCGGGUCUUCUCCUUUUUGCAGAAUUAUGUCUUUAGGUAUUUUUACCCAAUCAUCUCCCUCAUCGUUUGUUUGUUUUCCGUCGCCAAUUUGUAAUAUCCAUUCUGCAAAUUCAGCCACAUUUUGCUUUUGUAUUGGAUCUUCUGACAGGCACUUCAGCCGCAUGUUUUCAGUUAGUCUAAAUAUUUCGAAGUGCUUCCAUAGGUAUGACCUUUUGACUGAGGCAUUUACUAUCUGCUCUCUCUUUCCCUUUGUAACCACUGGAAGUAUUUGCCUGAAGUCACCUCCUAGCACAACUGUCAUGCCACCAAAUGGCCUUUCGUCACUGUUUUGGUUUUGGAACCUUAGAAUAUCCCUAAGGAUUUUGUCUAGUGCCUCGAAGCAGUGUUUGUGUGCCAUAGGAGCCUCGUCCCACAGUAUCAGUGAGGUCCUCUUUACCAGUUCAGCCAAAUGUGAGCCUUGUUUUAUUUCACAUGUUGAUUCUUCUGUGAUAUUUAUUGGAAUGUGGAAUCUUGAGUGCGCUGUUCUUCCACCUUGGAGGAGCAAUGCUGCAAUGCCAGAUGAUGCUACUGCAAGCACUAUUUUCCCCUCCAAUCGUAGCUUUGUUGUGAUUGCUUUCCAUAGAUAAGUUUUGCCUGUGCCACCGUAGCCCUCUACAAAUAUCUGUUUUCCAAGUCCUCUGUAAGCUGAUUCCAUUAUGGCAUCAAAGGCAAUUUUCUGGCCAUAGUUAAGAUUGCUAACUAUGGUUUGGUGCUCAAUCUUUAGUGCUUGUGAGUCGUAGCUAAGUUCUUCAUUUAUCAUUCUGUUCCCAAGUUGUUCAAGUUCAGUAGCAUUUGGUAGUUCUAUGCCUGGAUAGUCCUUUAGUGUCUUUCCAGCUUGCCUCAUUAGUUUCUCUAUCUCGAUCAGAGCAUAUGAUUUUUUCUAUGAAUCAGUUAGCUGCAGCAUAGGAAAGUUUAGGAUUAUUCUUCUUUUGUACUGGAUAUCUUCAGAUAGUGCCUCCCAUGUUGAAUCCCACAACAUUUUUGGGCUGGUCACCUCACAAUGGCAUAAUAUUGUGGUGAAUAGCUGCUGUAAUCGUAUCCCUGACCCCCAACUUGAUGCUUCAUUGAUGCCUUCAAUCCACUCACUAUCGUCAUCAAGAAAUCCAAGCGCUUGGCAUGCUGAUUUGUAUGUUGGGUGAACUACUCCAUUAAUUGUUCUAAUAUCCUCAAAUGAUGUGCAUCCUUUCUUGGUGUUUAGAAGCAUUCUCAUAUAAUACCAGUCACCACUUGUAGGGUGUGCAUAGUAAAUUCUUCCAUUCGCAAAGCCCCUUUUCCGCUUCUCCCAAGUUUUGGAGUCACUUUUCCAUACAAAUUUUGAUGGGAAUUCUGCAUAGGUUAAUUCUUUUCCCACCUCAUGUAUUUUGUUUGCCUCCAUCCACUCAGUGAACUUAGUACUUGUGGAUCCUGGCAUUCUUACUAUUUUUUCAAUGUCAGUCGAGUCCGGAAAAAUAACUUGUUGCUCGUUUUCAAUGUGGAAUGGCAGUCUCUCUACUGGUGGAUCACGAUGGUGUAUCUCGUCUCUAGGUAUUUCUUCAGAAUGUGGAAUGGCAGUCUCUCUAGGAAUAUCCGCCAGCAUGCUUCGAUUGUUGAUAUGUAUCUCGUCUCUAGGUAUUUCUUGGUUUCAUCAUAGUCGCUUGUCGCGUCCCUUUCCUUUAGUAAGGCUGUUACUUGGUCGUCAUCUUUAUGGAUGUACUUAAAUAGGUACUUGAUUGACCUGGACCUGUUGCACCAUUCCACAUUUAUGUGAGCUUGGAAUUUGACCAAAAGGUUUCUGUUGUAUGGCACAACAAAUCUGUUAUCGAGCAUUGCUCCUCCCUUUUUGAUAUUCCUUCCAUUGUCUUGCCUUCUAUAUACUGGAAAGCCAUCCUCAUCGAUUGUCGUAUCGAUAUUGUACCGUUUUGGGAAGUGUUUAGUGCAUUUGUUGUCUAUCAUGCAUGGUGAUUUUGUAUUUGCCUCUCCGCAAGGCCCGUGCAUCAUGAAGUUUUCAACAGCUUCAUAUCCGUCCAGAUCAACAUCUUUGUCUGGGAUCUCUGCACUGAUUAUUUGGUUGAUUUCUGAUGGUCCUUUGCACUUGUAAUUCUCCUUGAGAAAUACCAAUAUGUGCACAUGCGGGAGUCCCCUCUUCUGGAACUCUAUUGUGUAGAUAACUGCAUUGAUUGAAUAUAUAGUUUUAUUUUGUUAAAAUUUGGAAUCAUUUUAAUACAUAGAUAAAGGCUAUUGUGUGUUUAAAAAUUGAAACUUUAGGUCCUAUUAGUUAGCGAUUAGUAGUCGACUGAUCUUACUUGCUAUAGUUUCUCCAAACUGUUUCUUCACAACGAUAUCUCUCAUUAGCUCCUUCAGUUUUAUCAUGAAUACUCGGUCAACAAUAUCUGGUCGGUCGGCUGGCUUGAGCCCUCCUCCUGCUUCAUCUAGCAUGUAUUGGAUCUCAGGCCACUUUGCAUUGCAUGUGAAUGUUAUAAAUAGGUCUGGAUAUCCAGCCCAACGGCAUAUUGCAAAUGCGUCUUGCAAGUUUUGUGCCUUGUUUCUUCUACCUCCUAUAUAAGAUGAAGGUACAAUUAUCCUCUUUCCGACCUGCUCUGUUCUGGUGUCCCCUUGCUCAAUCGCGUCCUGCAGUCCACUGUAAAGUUCAGUUCGUAGCUUCCCUUGAUUAUUCCUGAUCCAGUUUAGUCUGUUUUGCUCAAUGCAUGUGUAAACAUCCACCCAAAAUUGAAGCGAGAGAUGUCUAGAUGUUAGCAAUGACAUUCCUUGGUCGGGUCUUUGUUGUAGGUAGUAUGCAUAGUAGUCCAGCAUAGUUACAUAUUUCCUGCUUUUGUCACCUUCUUUUGUUCGCUUGUAAGGUAUUUCAAGCUUGAAUCCAUCUUCUCCGUAUGGAAACAAUAACGGGUAUUGCAUUGACAUUAAUUUUGGAUGGAUUUCCGAUAUUCUGUGAGGUUCCAUAUUUUUGUACUCAACAACGAUGUCUCGUCCUUCGCUCUCUCCAGUAGGGUCUCCUACAACUAAUGCUGCAACGUCUGAUGCUGAUGGAAGGUUGUGUGUUCCGUUCCUUUUCCCAAGUAUUUGAAGCGUGUAAUCGUGGUAGUCUUCUUCUUCGAAUCUAUCUCUUGCUAUUCUGAAUGACUUUGCAAGGAUGUUGUUCUCAUCAAGCAUUUCUUGUAGUUCCUUGACAAUGGCAGGGUCCACUGUUGUUUUUUUAUCAUUGCAUCUUGAAGCAUCUAUCCUGUUUUGUACCUCAUUUUCUGUCUGAUAGAUGUAUAGCUGGGCAAAUCGAGGUUUGUUACCUUCUUCGGGUAGAAGACUUCCAAUAUGGUGGUAGUUCUGGCCAUGCAGUCUAAAAACAUAUGGUCCUUUGCCUUUGUUUAUUUCUUUGUCAACAAUUCCUCCCAUUGACGUGAAUGAGAACAUUGAGUUGUAUGACCUUAUAUUUUCUCUGAAGUUUGUUGCAUCACUUCCUUCACCUGUUAAUAGCCCUCCAAGGUAAGGUGGAGGAUAUGCUAUCUUUGGUAGGCCAAUUUUACCUUGUUUGCAGCAAAUUCCGAAAGAAGGUUUUUUGUUUCCUCUAUGAGAAUUUAAUCUUUCUUCACACCAUAGUAUUGCAUUGCAAUGUUCGCAUAUGUAUGUUGGCUUUCCAAAGUUCCAUAUCGUGCUAUAAUAACUUCCGGAUGUAGUGCUGCUGGUUCUUUCUAUGAUGUUUCUUUCAAGCUCAUUGUCGCUUGCAUUUUUUCUUGCACGCUUGACAUCUUUUCUUUCUUUGAUUUGUUCCUUUCUCUUCCCUGAAGCAUCUUCUUCUGUUUUAUUGGUUGUUUCCUGUGUAUUCCUGCAUCUCUUACUCCUUUUUUGUUGGAGUUGUUGUUUCCUCCUGAUAAUAGCUUCUCUAGCUUCUUUUGUAAGUUGGCCUGCUGAUUUUGAUGUGCACUGUCCCUUCAUUUCUGCAUUGGAUAUUCUUUUAGCAAUAUAGUAUAAUAUAAUUCUAAUUUCUGCAUAAUGUCGUCAAGAGGCUAACGAUAUAUGCAAUAAAUAGGAGAUGGUGGCUGCAUGUAGACAAUCUAUAAUACUUCGAUCAUGCUUUCAGGAUUACUGUGUUUUGUGGUUCGAGCUGCUGUGUAUGGCAUUAUUGGAGGGACAGUGUGCUUGUUUCUCAGUGAACAACAAUUGUUCCAUGGGAAUUACUAAGGCAAAGUACUCUCUAAGAUCAUUGUUAGCAAUAUACGUAAAGUUAUUAGGUUCUACAAUAUUAACAAAGGUAAAUAUUUGAAAUGUAUAUGUUACAAAUGUACCAAAAAAAAGUGUGCAUUACAUGAAGAUUGUAAAAUCUCAAUGAUAUACCUGAUAAUGUUUUCUUGUCUUUGUUUUUCUAAUUUUGUAAAGCUUCACACGCAUGUGCUAAUUAUUGUCGUAAUUGUAUCUUUGCUGCAAAGCCAAUCCUGUAGCGAUCUUGGAAAAUAUUUUAUACCAUGUACAAAUUAUUAGAGCAUAUUUUUUAUUGCUGCAGUGACUUUAUCAGUCUGUGAGUCACUUUUAGUUCAUCACAGAAGCUCUUAC